GUAGUCCUAACCAUAAACUAAAGCUCGUAGUUGAAUUUCUGCCUUGUCAUUAAUCUCGCUUCCGAGCGUUUUUUUAUUGGCUUGGCAUCUUCUGGAUUUGGUGCCUUCGGGUACUAUUUUCCAGGAUUUACUUUGAGAAAACUAGAGUGUUUCAAACAGGCAUUCGCCUUGAAUACUACAGCAUGGAAUAAUGAAGUAGGACUUUGGUUCUAUUUUGUUGGUUAUUGAGCCAGAGUAAUGGUUAAUAGGAGCAGUUGGGGGCAUUCGUAUUUAACUGUCAGAGGUGAAAUUCUUAGAUUUGUUAAAGACGAACUACUGCGAAAGCAUUUGCCAAGGAUGUUUUCAUUAAUCAAGAACGAAAGUUAGGGGAUCGAAGACGAUCAGAUACCGUCGUAGUCCUAACCAUAAACUAAA
rnacentral:rRNA from 1 species